UAUGUGAUCGUCUCUCGCAUAUCAAUAAGCGGAGGAAAAGAAACUAACAAGGAUUCCCCUAGUAACGGCGAGUGAAGCGGGAAGAGCUCAAAUUUGAAAUCUUAAAGGGUUUCCCUUUACGAAUUGUAGUUUAAAGAAGUGUUUUCUGUUGAGGUUUUGGUAAAAGUUCUUUGGAAUAGGACAUCAUAGAGGGUGAGAAUCCCGUAUUUGACCUUUACUUUCAACUUUGUGAUACACUUUCAAAGAGUCGGAUUGUUUGGGAAUGCAGUCCAAAAUGGGUGGUAAAUUUCAUCUAAAGCUAAAUAUUGGCGAGAGACCGAUAGCGAACAAGUACCGUGAGGGAAAGAUGAAAAGAACUUUGAAAAGAGAGUUAAACAGUACGUGAAAUUGUCAAAAGGGAAGCGUUUGACACCAGUGUUGUUUUUCUGAAAAUCAAUUAAAGAACUGUUUAUGCUAAGCUUGUUUAGACUUUAUCAGCUAUCUGUUUAGUUUUGAGCUUUUCUUUAACUGCACUUUUCAGUUAACAAGUCAACAUCAAUUUCUUUUGCUGUAAAAAAGCUUGAGGAAGGUGGCUUGAGAUUCGUCUUAAGUGUUUAUAGCCUCUUGCCUAUGCAGUCGGAGAGAUUGAGGUCUGCAGCGUAGAUCCUUCGGGGCUAAAUGCAUUUGUGCUAAGUUAUAGCAUUUUAUAGACAACUUGUUGACUAUGAUUUGUCUUGUAGCUUACUCGCUUAUGUUAUUUUACCUACGCUUAGGAUGUUGAUAUCGCGCUCUCACUG
rnacentral:rRNA from 1 species